CUCUUCUUCUUCUUUAUCUUCUUAGCGCCUGCAAAAUAAAAAUAAAAAACAAACGACUUUAGCCGCAUGUGGCGCUGUCGAUUUCACUCAACACUUUCACAUUCGUACUCGGAAACAAACCCCCACCUCCUAAGUACGACCCCGCCUACUUCUAAGAGCGCCAAAUUCAUUUUGCAAAAAGACAGUCUAGUGUGAACAUCUCCUACAGCCGCUUAAAAAACAUGCAAAAAGCAACAACAAAAAAAAAACUUACCGCAGAUAGGUGUAGGACUUUCGUCGUCUUUUUCGAUGAUGUUGUCCUCGAGCAAGUCUUCGGUGUGGAGAGUAUUUUGUGGGAAAAACCCCUCUUCUUUUACCGCGAGCAAGCCUUCAGCCUCCGCUGGAACGUCAUUGUUCUUCAAUGUCAACCUCCUCGACACUUUUUGGCGGGAGACCCGUUAAAGGCGUCCAACGCGCCAGAGGCGUAAAAGAAACAUCUGAACCACCACCACCGGAGUAAACACCCCGCAUUCAGAGUUAAAAGACUCCAAAGAAAAGACGUCUGGUUCGGUCGACUGAGGCUGAUAGGAUCCGUUGAUUUUAGGAGCACGGAGACUGGCACGGAAAACCCAACGACCUGAGGCCAAAAAAUCCUACUUUUCCGAGGAGCGUCGUAGUAAGUUUUAUCAUUUUUAUAAAUUGAAACUGGCGUUUCGCUAAUCAUGCCUACUGAAACAACAGCUUUCUCCAUCUUUUCCAUUUUCUCUUAAUGCUCGUACUAACAAAGACUUACCAUUCACAUAUACCAGUGUAUGUGUGUGUGUGUACGUACAUGUGUUAAUACUCAAAAAGUCGUAAAUCGCAUUUUGACAUAAAGUGUCUCCCCCCUUAGCCCCACCUUCCUCUGACCUCCCCUUCACCCCACCCCUCCUCUUACAGGGCCAUCAAUCACAUUUUGACAUAAGGUGUCUCCCCCUCAGCCCCGCCUCCUUCUGACCUCCCCUUCACCCCACCCCUCCUCUUACAGGGCCAUCAAUCACAUUUUGACAUAAGGUGUCUCCCCCUCAGCCCCGCCUCCUUCUGACCUCCCCUUCACCCCACCCCUCCUCUUACAGGGCCAUCAAUCACAUUUUGACAUAAGGUGUAUUCCCCCCUCAGCCCCGCCUCCUUCUGACCUCCCCUUCACCCCACCCCCCUGUGACCUUUUGACCUUAAGGUCGUAAAUCUUUUUUUGACUAAAGGUAACCCCUUAUCCUCUC